UUGGAGAUGAAGUCCUCCUGGAAGCAGCU
rnacentral:piRNA from 1 species